UACGUAGGGGGCAAGCGUUGUCCGGGUUUAUUGGGCGUAAAGAGCGUGUAGGCGGCCAGGUAGGUCUGCUGUGAAAACUCGAGGCUCAACCUCGAGACGUCGGCGGAAACCAUCUGGCUAGAGUCCGGAAGAGGAGAGUGGAAUUCCUGGUGUAGCGGUGAAAUGCGCAGAUAUCAGGAAGAACACCCGUGGCGAAGGCGGCUCUCUGGGACGGUACUGACGCUGAGACGCGAAAGCGUGGGGAGCGAACAGG
rnacentral:rRNA from 1 species